rnacentral:rRNA from 1 species
UACGGAGGGUGCAAGCGUCGUCCGGAUUUAUUGGGUUUAAAGGGUGCGUAGGCGGCCCGGUAAGUCAGUGGUGAAAGCCUCCAGCUCAACUGGAGAACUGCCAUUGAUACUGCCGGGCUUGAGUACAGACGAGGUUGGCGGAAUUGAUUGUGUAGCGGUGAAAUGCAUAGAUACAAUCAAGAACUCCGAUUGCGUAGGCAGCUAACUAGGCUGUAACUGACGCUGAGGCACGAAAGCGUGGGGAGCGAACAGG